UACGUAGGGUGCGAGCGUUAAUCGGAAUUACUGGGCGUAAAGCGUGCGCAGGCGGUUUUGUAAGCCAGAUGUGAAAUCCCCGGGCUUAACCUGGGAAUGGCAUUUGGGACUGCAAAGCUGGAGUGCGGCAGGGGGGACUGGAAUUCCUGGUGUAGCAGUGAAAUGCGUAGAGAUCAGGAGGAAUACCGAUGGCGAAGGCAGGUCCCUGGGUUGACACUGACGCUCAUGCACGAAAGCGUGGGGAGCAAACAGG
rnacentral:rRNA from 1 species